CACUGAGCCCUCUGACCUGUAGGGGGCGCACUGAGCCCUCUGACCUGUAGGGGGCGCACUGAGCCCUCUGACCUGUAGGGGGCGCACUGAGCCCUCUGACCUGUAGGGGGCGCACUGAGUAUUAAAUACUUGAAUAAAGCUUUGAGCUGCAGCCGCUGAACCCUUUGACUCAUCAGUCUGACUUCCUGUCAGCUGCGACCUCAUUGGUUCAAAAACACAAAGAGGAAAUGAACGAGGAGAACUCCAGAACCAAAGACCCGUAACAAAGACCCUCACUGGUUCUGACCCGUCACCAGACCCCCACUGGUUCUGGAGCUCCCCGCCCCUGAUCCAUCACAGUGAGUCCUGAAGAGGUUCUUAUUGCAUACCUGCAAACUUGUCACCUUUCGGAGACGCGGAGAAAAGUGUGAAGUGUUGCUCUUCGCAAUUAAACAUCUUUGAUGGGGCGUGUCGCGUCUCGGCCAAUCAGCGUUCAGAUGUCCACAGCGUUUGGGGGUUCAGGUUAGCUUGAAUGUUAGCCCGCUACAUCUGCUGCUGUCACGCUGCACGGUGUAGCGAUGCUAACAAAGUACCCGUAUGUUAAACACGAUGUGAUUUAGCAUAUCUUUAGUAUCGAUACUUCAUUAAGAGAGCGAUCAGAGCGCACGCGCUGCUCCGUGUCGAGCUGUCUGCGCACACUGCGCUGCGCAGCUCACAGCGAGAGAAGAGGCGCAGCUUUAGAGACUUCGGCUUAACAAAUAAAAAGAUGCCAGAAGUGAAAUGUUUCAGUCUGUAAAGUUCUGUAACUACAGCUGCUCAUCCUGAUGAACUGUGGAUCAUCUGGUCAGAGACUAACGGCCUCAUAGUGAUCAUCAAUGCUCUGAUGGAACCAUGUAGUUUCAUUCAUAUCUGGCUGUAUUGAUACUCAUAUUACUGUCAUUUGUUAAGUGUUGAAAAAGUUGGUAAAAAGUGAACCAUA